rnacentral:tRNA from 3 species
AAGGCUUUAAGUUAAUUAAACUAAUAGCCUUCAAAGCUGUAAAUAUAGGGUAUUCCUUUAAGCCUUA